UACGGAGGGUGCAAGCGUUAUCCGGAUUUACUGGGUUUAAAGGGUGCGUAGGUGGGUAAGUAAGUCAGUGGUGAAAUCUUCGAGCUUAACUCGGAAACUGCCAUUGAUACUAUUUAUCUUGAAUACUUUGGAGGUAAGCGGAAUAUGUCAUGUAGCGGUGAAAUGCUUAGAUAUGACAUAGAACACUAAUUGCGAAGGCAGCUUACUACACAGUUAUUGACACUGAGGCACGAAAGCGUGGGGAUCAAACAGG
rnacentral:rRNA from 1 species